rnacentral:rRNA from 1 species
GACGAACGCUGGUGGUGUGCUUCACACAUGCAAGUCGAACGAGGUAGCAAUACCUAGUGGCGGACGGGUGAGUAACGCGUGGGAAUCUGCCUUUAGAUGGGGGAUAACGGGCCGAAAGGUCCGCUAAUACCGCAUAUGCCGCAAGGUGAAAGGAGUAAUCCGUCUAAAGAUGAGCCCGCGUCCGAUUAGCUAGUUGGUAGAGUAAGAGCCUACCAAGGCGACGAUCGGUAGCUGGUCUGAGAGGAUGAUCAGCCACAAUGGGACUGAGACACGGCCCAUACUCCUACGGGAGGCAGCAGUGGGGAAUGUUACGGAAUGGGGGAAACCCUGACGUAGCGACACCGCGUGAGCGAAGAAGCCCGUUGGGGUGUAAAGCUCUGUCAGCUGGAACGAAAACAAUGACGGUACCAGCAGAGGAAGCAUCGGCUAACUACGUGCCAGCCGCCGCCGUAA